UUCCAUAAUUAUUCCAUUCAUGGAGAGAAUUAAGGAAAAUAGUCCUAGUAUCCUUUUAUUUCCAUGGUUAGGUUUUGGCCAUGUAAGUCCCUAUUUGGCACUAGCCAAGAAAUUAUCGAAAAUGAAUUUUCACAUAUAUUUUCUUUCAACACCAAUUAUUCUCAAAUCUAUCAAGGAAACCCUAGAUAAAAAAAACUCAUCUUAUAAUAAUCUCUCCAUACAACUUGUUGAAUUUCACUUGCCUUAUUUGCAUGAGUUACCUCCUCACUACCAUACAACUAAAGACCUCCCUCCCCAUCUUAACUCCACUCUUAUUCAAGCCUUCCAAAUGGCUUCUUCCAAAUUUCCAAGCAUAAUUGAAACCCUAAAACCUAACCUGAUUAUAUAUGAUGGGUUCCAACCAUGGGUAGCAACUAUGGCUUCAUCAUGUAAUAUUCAUGCUAUUAUGUUUUAUGUUUCUUCAACUUCAGGUCUUGCCUACCUUUACCACCAAUUUCUUCAUGGGACUUCAAACCUUACAUCAUUUCCUUUUUCUUCCAUAUACCUUCAUGACUAUGAGAUCAAGAAAUUAGUCAUACAACCGAUAAAACCACGUGAUGAGAAAGCUUUUGCAUACAUGAUCCUUAAAUCUUUUGAACAAUCUCAUAACAUUAUUUUGUUGAACACUUGUAGGGAGAUUGAGGGAAAGUAUAUAGAUUAUGUUUCUACCAUAGGAAAGAAGGAGUUGAUACCAAUUGGACCAUUAAUUUGCGAGGCGACCAUAGGUGAGGAGGAGGAUUGGGGGACAAUUCAAUCAUGGCUAGAUAAGAAGGAUAAAUUAUCAUGUGUUUAUGUAUCAUUUGGAAGUGAAAGCUUCUUGUCAAAGCAAGAAAUCGAAGCAAUAGCCAAAGGGCUUGAGCUAAGCAAAGUUAAUUUUAUUUGGACUAUCAAAUUUCCAAAAGGGGUGAACACAACAAUGGAAGAAAGGGUUCCACAAGGUUUUCUUGAAAGUACAAAGGGAAAAGGGAUGGUUAUUGAACGAUGGGCACCACAAAGUCUAAUUUUGAACCAUUCAAGCAUUGGAGGUUUUAUAACUCAGGAUGGAACUCGAUUUUAGAAAGCAUGAGUUUUGGCAUACCAAUAAUAGCCAUGCCUAUUAAUCAUGAUCAACCAUUGAAUUCAAGAUUAGUGGAGGAACUUGGAAUAGGGGUGGAGAUUUUGAGAGGUGAAAAUGGGAAAAUAAUGAAAGAAGAGGUGGCAAAAGGAAUAAGGAAGGUCGUAGAGGAGAAGACUAGGAAACAAGUAAAUUUGAAGGCAAUGCAAUUGAGUGAGAAGAUAAAAUUGAAAGGGGAGACAGCUACUGAUGAAGGGAUUAAAAAGUUGUUGAAGCUAUUAUGUUGAUUUAUAAGAGAAUGAUAAUGAUGAAUUG